UGCCCAGCAACUCCUAUUUUUACCUCCAAGUGGCACCGGCCGGCCUGCGAGCAACCUUAGAGAAGAUCGGGUAACCAACCCCGGUGGGAACUUUGGUCGCCGGCAGAUAGGGAAGG
rnacentral:ribozyme from 1 species